AGGACGAACGCUGGCGGCGUGCCUAACACAUGCAAGUCGAACGCGCUCCAUUCGGUAGCAAUACUGAUGAAGAGUGAGUGGCGAACGGGUGAGUAACACAUGAGCAACCUGCCCCGAAGACUGGGACAACACCGGGAAACCGGUGCUAAUACCGGAUAUCCCUAUCGGACCGCAUGAUCUGAUAAGGAAAUGGAUUCCGCUUCGGGAGGGGCUCGUGGCCUAUCAGCUAGUUGGUGAGGUAACGGCUCACCAAGGCAUCGACGGGUAGCUGGUCUGAGAGGACGAUCAGCCACACUGGGACUGAGACACGGCCCAGACUCCUACGGGAGGCAGCAGUGGGGAAUCUUGCGCAAUGGGCGAAAGCCUGACGCAGCAACGCCGCGUGGAGGACGAAGGCUUUCUGAGUUGUAAACUCCUUUCAGCAGGGACGAUAGUGACGGUACUGCAGAAGAGCACCGGCAACUACGCGCCAGCAG
rnacentral:rRNA from 1 species